UAGCAUACAGCUGCUAAAAGGUACUGGAAGGGUAAAGAUUAGACGUAAUUUACAAAUCUGUUUAACUUUCUGGCACCAGUUCAUUUAAAAAUAAAUAAAAUAUCCACCUGAGUACCCCUUUAAGGAAGACCUUUUAGAUCCUUGGUGGCCUAGAACUGUCCAUAACCAGUGUGCCUCCAACUGUUGCAAAUCUACAACUCCCAGCAUGCCCGGAGAGCCAAAGGCUCCUAAGAGGGAAGCCUUGAUUGACCUUUCAGGGACAGUGUGGAUCCUCUGGAGAAGGCAGACAAGCCUUUGGCUGUUCUGGCAUGCUGGGAGUUGUAGUUUUGUAACAGCUGGAGGCACCCUGGUUGGGAAACGCCAGCCUCUAAGUUGGCCACACUUAUAGGUCUAGUGCCACACUUUUAUUACAAACUGAGUCCCUGUAAAUUGGCAUGGAGGCGGAGCCACAGUGGCAUUUAAUUACGCUGCCCAUGCCAACUGAGUUUUGCGUGAAGUGCCCAACAUUCAGGGUGUCAGUCAUCAAGCCUGAGUUGGCAGAAGCAGGGUCUGGGCAGUGUGACUGCAUGCUCCGCCUCUAUGCCAAUUUACCAGGUGUCAGGAGGGAGGGAUUUAAGGUUUGCCGAGAAGUUUUGCCCAAUCCUAAACUUUUUAGUCAGAUCACUAUGCACUACACCAGAUGCACUACAUCAGAUAAUGGGGUACCCUGGUUAGGAAACACUGGGUUACUCAGUAAAAAAAAGCAAUAUAAGGGAUAUAGGUCGGCCUUAAAUACAUAGCAAGGAAAAUACAGCAGAACUGACACCAUAGCGGCCAAAUAGGUUUUGGGUCCAGUGAAAUCUAUUUACAUAUAUAGAGGAAAUCACCAGUCACUUGUUCUAAUACCAAAAAUUACUAGUGAAAAUGCUGCCCGUGCCGGGUAUAGAAGCCGCAGCUACUGAUCCCAGGUCACAAUGUCCUUCAUGUCGUCCUUUCUAUGGGUUGUGUUAGUAUCGUAGAUCUGUGCCCUCUCAUGAGCGCCCCCUAGUGGGUCCCAGAUGGACAUGACUGUUUUGUGCCUAGAGUCACCUUUUUAGCCAGCAGUAGUAAUUAUUAAAGGGAUUGUUACUACUUUCUUAUUAGCAUCGAUCCUAUAUCCUAUAUUUUUCCUGUAGUUGGACGAGAAUGUAGAGCGGAGUUAUAAUUGUUAUAAUAGUUUUCUGCUGUUUAAAUAAAAGCAUUGUCAUUCUAA